GUUUGGGUGAAGACGGAGGCGGGUUCUGGACAGACCUACGCUGUCGGGGAGUGUUUACUUCGCCUCCACUUCUGUUCCUCCCCGCCCUGGUGCUGCUCCAGGUCACAUACUCUUCCUGAGCCGGCUUCAGCCUCUCCGCGCAGAAGUCUCCCGGAGCCAUGGCCUAGUAUUCUUAUGUGAAGUCUACCAAGCUUGUGCUCAAGGGAACCGAGGUGAAGAGCUGGGUCCUGCAGCUCCGGCGGGAGCCUCCUCAGUUCUUUUCGGACGCACUCCACCCCCGCGAAUCCGGUGGAAGCCGUGAUGCGGAGAGCCGGCUUCGUGGCCUCCCAGGCUUCGCUCUGACCCUGUCUGGGCUGGAUGGAGGCCGGACCGCCCUUCCUGGCGCCUGUGCAGAGAGGGGCAGCCUCCUGCGCGGACGACCCUGGAAACAGGAUAGACGGGCGGGUGACCCGUGACCCCGUACCCACGAGUUUGGGUCCCUUGAGGCAUCUCUCCAGGCCUCUGCCUGUAAGAAGAAAAAGAGCAAAGAUAAGAAGAGAAAAAGAGAAGAUGAAGAAACCCAGCUUGAUAUGUUGGAAUCUGGUGAACAGUAACAAACUUUGGUGAAAUUUCAGGAACCAUAGCCAUUGAAGUGGAUGAGGGAACCUAUAUACAUGCACUCAACAAUGGUCUUUUUACCCUGGGAGCUCCACACAAAGAAGAAUCGCCCUGAAACCUGGCUAUGGAAAAUAUCUUAGUAUAAAUUCAGAUGAACUUGUUGUUGGCGUUCAGAUGCAAUUGGACCAAGAGAACAAUGGGAACCAGUCUUUCAAAAUGGUGCCUGUGCAGCAGUAUUCACUGUGAUAGGAAGUGAGAAGCAGUCUGAGUGUUCAUUGCUGAGGGAAUCAAGGGCAAAAUAUCAUGGAUGCACUCAUGGACAAAUAAGCAGCAGUUUGAAGCAACACCCUAGAUGGAUGUACAGCCAUCAAGAGGAUCUUAAAGUGUGGUCUUUAGU
ensembl:lncRNA novel transcript